rnacentral:rRNA from 1 species
GAUGAACGCUGGCGGCGUGCCUAAUACAUGCAAGUCGAGCGAACAGACGAGGAGCUUGCUCCUCUGACGUUAGCGGCGGACGGGUGAGUAACACGUGGAUAACCUACCUAUAAGACUGGGAUAACUUCGGGAAACCGGAGCUAAUACCGGAUAAUAUAUUGAACCGCAUGGUUCAAUAGUGAAAGACGGUUUUGCUGUCACUUAUAGAUGGAUCCGCGCCGCAUUAGCUAGUUGGUAAGGUAACGGCUUACCAAGGCAACGAUGGGUAGCCGACCUGAGAGGGAGUACGACCACCGGGGCAGAGAGGACGGGCCGCCACACUGGGGGGGGGAGAAGGCAGGAACUCUUCCGGAAGGGAGAAAUGCCGAACGGGGCGCAGCGGGGGAAAGCAUGACGGUCUUAGGCCCAAAAAAUUUUGUAAUUGGGAAGAAAAAAAAAUUAAUUCAACAUGGCAGGUCUGGAGGGUACCUAAAAAAAAAGCCAGGGCUAACUUCGUG